UACGUAGGUGGCAAGCGUUGUCCGGAAUUACUGGGCGUAAAGAGCGCGCAGGCGGCUGGUCAAGUCCGAUGUGAAAGCUCCCGGCUUAACUGGGAAAUUGCAUCGGAAACUGAUCGGCUUGAAGGUGGGAGAGGGUAGUGGAAUUCCCGGUGUAGUGGUGAAAUGCGUAGAUAUCGGGAGGAACACCAGUGGCGAAGGCGACUACCUGGCCCACUCUUGACGCUGAGGCGCGAAAGCUAGGGGAGCGAACGGG
rnacentral:rRNA from 1 species